rnacentral:rRNA from 1 species
UACGGAGGAGGCAAGCGUUAUCCGGAUUUAUUGGGCGUAAAGCGUCCGCAGGUGGUUUAGCAAGUCUGCUGUCAAAGCGCGAAGCUCAACUUCGUAUAGGCCGUGGAAACUGCUGAACUUGAGUGUGAUAGGGGCAGAGGGAAUUCCCAGUGUAGCGGUGAAAUGCGUAGAGAUUGGGAAGAACACCGGUGGCGAAAGCGCUCUGCUGGGUCAUAACUGACACUGAGGGACGAAAGCUAGGGGAGCGAAAGGG